AUAAAUGUGUGUUAUUAUGCUCCAAUUGUCAUAGAGAGGUUCAUGCUGGUAUUACGCAGCUUUCAACGGCAACGUUGAUCGAAGAAUAGGGUUAAUUGCUGGAAGCCUAAGUAAUUAUAUGGUAAUCAGCAGCCAAGCUCAAAUAUUUGAGAAGGUUCAGAGACUAUCCAAUUUUAUGGAGUAGGUUGUAUUUAAUACAAUCGAAGCGCCCUACAUCUUUAAAAAAGAUGAUGAUAUAGUCCACGCCGGUACGAAAGUACUGG
rnacentral:ncRNA from 1 species